CCAGCUCCAAUAGCGUAUACUAAAGUUGUUGCAGUUAAAAAGCUCGUAGUUGGAUUUCUGGUCGUGGCAUUCGGUCUGCUCCUUAGGGAGUGUGUACUAGAUUGCUGCGUCCAUCUUCGGGGAAAACAUGCCUGACAUUAAGUUGCCGGGUAUGCGAUCCUCGUCAUUUACUGUGAGCAAAAUAGAGUGUUCAAAGCAGGCUUAGGCCCUGAAUACAUUAGCAUGGAAUAAUAAGAUAAGACCUUGGUCUAUUUUGUUGGUUAGCAUUCCAAGGUAAUGAUUAAUAGGGAUAGUUGGGGGUAUUCGUAUUCAAUUGUCAGAGGUGAAAUUCUUGGAUUUAUGGAAGACGAACUACUGCGAAAGCAUUUACCAAAUAUGUUUUCA
rnacentral:rRNA from 1 species